UUUUUGGGAAAUAAAAUAAAUAACCAAAUGAACUGCAAAACGAAAAAUGAUAAGAAACAAAAAUAAAAGCAUCAUUAGUAAGAACCUCUCCUAGACUUAAACGACACAGUCCCCAGUGGCAUUCAAAUCCAGAGAAAGCGGGAAAAAUAAAUUAAAAAUAAAAGAAAAUAAAAGAAAGGGAAAAGAAAAAUAAAACCAAUGGGUUGCCUCCCACUAAGCGCUUGUUUGGAGUUAGUAGCUUGACUUGGCGGAGUUUAGGAUGUGGGUGGAGUGGUGGGGUGGAUUGUUGCUGCAUCCUUGCCUUCCAAGGCGGUGUGUAAACGGAUCUGGUUGGAGCAGCUACUGGUGUCGAUCGACACUCAGUGGUGUGUCGAUCGACACUCUUCUCGUCAUCUGCAAAAACAACAGGAGAAACAAGCUUUCGAGGGACUCUAGGCUUGUUAUCUUGUGAAGCAGUCUUCGAAUAAUCCAAGGAAAUAAUCAAAGAUAAACUAGGAGAGGAGAUAGAAGAAAACUUGUCACAUAGGUCCUCAAGUGGUGUGGGCUGAAGAGAAUGUGCAGAAUCCUCUGUCUGUGAAACCCGUGGGUGUCGAUCGACAGAGGUAGUAGUGUCGAUCGACACUGUUGCCCUGCAACUCUCAUUGGCGAGCUGAACGGGAUGGAGCGUUGUGUGUGGCUCUGUGGUGGGAUUCUGAUCAGUCUGGGGAGGUGUGUCGGUGCUGGAGGCAAUGCAACUGAUAGGCUUAGUAAGCUCUAAACUAUCCAUGCCAAACUCCAUCUCUGAAUCACAAACCUUGAGAAAGAUUCUCCCUCUCUUCACAUCAAACCUAGCAGCAGCUGUAGCUAGGAAUGCUCUUCCAAGGAUAAGGGGAUUCUUGGGUUCCUUCUCAUAGUCCAGGACCACGAAAUCAGCAGGGAUUAUGGAGUUACCAACCUUAACAGGAACAUCUUCAAGGAUUCCUUCAGAGAUUCGCUUGGAACGAUCCGCGAAGAGAAGAGUGAUGCGAGUAGGUCUGUACUGAGUCAUGCCUAGUCUCUCAACAACAGACUUGGACAUGAGGUUGAUGCUUGAUCCCAAAUCACACAAAGAGCGGCUGAAUCUGCUUGUGGAGAUAGAGCAAUCAAGGACAAAGCUACCUGGAUCCGGAAGUUUCUCAGUGGUCAGACCAGGAGUAAUGGUGCGGAUGUACUCAGCUAUAUCUACUCUCUGUGCCUUCUCCUUCUUGGCCUUAGGCAGCAUGAUUGCACAGAUGUCUCUGGUAAGCAGCUUAGCUUCAUCUGAACUAAUUCCAUUGUCAACAAGUUGCUUGACAUACCUGUUGAGUGAUGCGGAAGAUGUCUCUGAAGCAUCCGUAGGAAGAAUAUGGAGGAUCUUCUCCAUUAUGGUUGUGCACUUAGCAACAUGAAUCUCCUGCUUAGAACGACGCCUCCUCGGAUAGGGGACAUGAGGAGUGUAAACCGGCUCGAGCUGCAUAGGUACUUGCACCUCACAAGGUGCAGUCCGGAUCCAGUGUCGAUCGAUACUAGAGGGAUAUCGAUCGACACCGUCGUAUUGUGUCAUCUCUGAAAAGAGCAUCCCAUAUGGUGUCGAUCGAUACAUGAGGGUGUCGGUCGACACCAUCUCUGCAACUGCGAGCUCCAACUCGUCUUCAGUGUCCAAUUCCUCCCACACAUCAUCUCCUUCUCUGAUCAAGAUGGCAUUACAGCUCUUCCUUGGGUUAGCAUCAGGAUUACCAGGAAGAAAACCCUCUUGUCUCUUGAUAGAUUGUGUAGUUUGAGCUACCUGUACAUCUAGCUUCUUCAAGUGAGAGCUUAGAUUGUCGAUCUUCCCAUUAAGAUCUAUGUAGACAGCAUCAAACUUGCCAUUAAACUCCACAACAAGCUUUGUUUGGCUCUCCAGAAUCUGCUCAAGCAUCGAUUCCAUUCUUGUCUCUGAUGAGGGUGGAGGGGGGG
rnacentral:sRNA from 1 species